GAAAUCUGGAGCUUAAAAUUGCUUUGAGUAAAGUAGUAACACCAUCAGGACUGACAAGAAUUAACAUAGUGGAUGCCUUUGAGAAAGCCGUGCUUAAGAUUUUUUCGUUAUCAUUGUAUGGGAAAUAUUGUUUUCAGGCAUUCCUGCCUCGGACACCCGGGACAAUUUUUGACAGCCUUCUCUGUGCCUGACAGUUAUUUUACUCUCCGUGCAUUGAGAUGCCUAGUCCGAGUUACAACGGAAGAAGACUGGAACGGAGGGGGAAGAACCAUCAAGAACGAGAAAAAACAGAGAACGGACACUCGGCAGCAAUCACGGCGAGCUGCUCCCUGCUUAUUCACAACAGCUGAUCCCAUCCAAUAAAAAAAAAACGAGAAUGUUCAUCAAAAAAGAAGGAAAAAAUAAGCAAGAAUAAAAAAAAAAAGGACAAUCAUACAAAAAAGGAAUAA